rnacentral:rRNA from 1 species
AUUGAACGCUGGCGGAAUGCUUUACACAUGCAAGUCGAACGGCAGCACGGACUUCGGUCUGGUGGCGAGUGGCGAACGGGUGAGUAAUACAUCGGAACGUGCCCAAUCGUGGGGGAUAACGUAGCGAAAGCUACGCUAAUACCGCAUACGAUCUAAGGAUGAAAGCGGGGGAUCGCAAGACCUCGCGCGAUUGGAGCGGCUGAUGGCAGAUUAGGUGGUUGGUAGGGUAAAGGCCUACCAAGCCGACGCUCUGUAGCUGGUCUGAGAGGAUGAUCAGCAACACUGGGACUGAGAGACGGCCCAGACUCCUACGGGAGGCAGCAGUGGGGAAUUUUGGACAAUGGACGCAAGUCUGAUCCAGCCAUGCCGCGUGCAGGAUGAAGGCCCUCGGGUUGUAAACUGCUUUUGUACAGAACGAAAAGGCUCUGGUUAAUACCUAGGGCUCAUGACGGUACUGUAAGAAUAAGCACCGGCUAACUACGUGCCAGCCGCCGCCGUAA